GCCCAUGUGGCUCAGGGGUGGAGCAUCAAUCUACGAACCAGGAGGUCAGGGUUCAAUUCCCUGGUCAGGGCA
rfam:Myotis davidii contig91126, whole genome shotgun sequence.